GUCGCCUGAGAAAAUGAGAUAGAAAAAAAAUCACGUAUCUUAAUUUCUUUUCCGGAACGUUUAGAAAAAAAAAAUGCGGGAGUGAGGAGAGAAAAGAAAAUGAACGAAGAAAAAGAAAAAAAUCAAGACAGAAAGAAGCACCAAGUCACUUCGAGUCAAAGUGAAUCUGUUUCGCUGCGUUGUGGUCGCCUGGUGUGUGUGGGCGGGGGCGGCGGGGGUGGCUUGAGUGAGCGGCGACUGGGAGAAGGAGAGAGGGGCGGAGAGGAUAGAAGGAGGGGAGGGGACAUGACAUUAGAGUGGGCCUACUGCCGCUAUGUCCCCCGGGGCGUGGAAAUGGCCUGUGCCCCUCCAAGCCACGGCAAUACAUCACGUGACAGGUUCACAAUGCCACGGAGAAAGAGAGACGGAGAGAUGGAGGAGGAGGGGGAGGGAAAGUGAAGGUGAGCCAUUCGCUGGACACUUUGCUCCUCGCUCGCCCCACGCCACCCUCCUCUUGCCCGGCUGCGUCUGUCUGUUUGUUUGCGUGCGUCUGCUGGGGAGCGUCACUGGGAGGGGAAUGCAGCAGGAGGACGAGUGAUAAACAAGGAGGGUCAUGAGGGAGGCGGAUGCGAGAUGCAAGGGCGGCGCUAAGUGGUCACAAAAAAGCCUUUCAACAAUAGCCUGGUGGACGAACGAACAAACACACAACAUGCACACGCUGAACAAGGUCGGUGGCAGCACACGCACUUACAAGCUGAGAGGAUAAUGAGUUUGGUCCAGUCGUGAUCCCUCGGUGCGCACAAUAAGGUGAUGCAAGACGUGUGGUCAUGGCCAGAACACAAUUAACCUGUUGCUCUCACUUCCACUCCUAUUCCUCUGUGUUUAAUGUUUUCCUUUAUUCUUAAGUCCUGUGAUUUACUAGCAUUCUGAAAAUAUCCUUACAAAAUAACUGGUUAUUGAAGGAUAUUUUUUUGGUACAUCAGGGGACUUGAGAUUGAAGGACACGUAAAAACACAGUGGAAGUGAAUGCAGUAUGCUACUUAAUUUCCAUGACAAUCAGCUGACCGGAGCAUGUAAACAAAAAAUCGACUGUUUUCACGCAUGCACUGAACCAAAACAUUUCCCUCAAUUUCCUGCUGCUGUAGACUGUUCCAUAAGGCGCGCAGUGUUGCCAGUCCAGUACCAGUUCAAUACCCUUUCCGCUGCACACCUCCCCAUGCUUCCCACAGUGUUACCAUCAUUCUUUCACGUCUGGCCAGUGUUACAAGUCGCCUCCGUGCCUUGCCCCCGCCAUCGCCGCCAGGUCGCCCGCCACCGCCACAAGCCCUCCCGGCCACUGUUGCCGAUAUAAAGUGCAAUAAACUUGAAGUAAAGACGAAA